CGGGGGGGGCAAGCGUUGUUCGGAAUUACUGGGCGUAAAGGGCCAGUAGGCGGCCAACUAAGUCGGAUGUGAAAUCCCCAGGCUCAACCUGGGAACUGCAUCCGUUACUGGAUGGCUUGAAUUCGGGAGAGGGAUGCAGAAUUCCAGGUGUAGCGGCGAAAUGCGUAGAUAUCUGGAGGAAUACCGGUGUCGAAGGCGGCAUCCUGGACCGACAUUGACGCUGAACGGCGAAAGCUAGGGGAGCAAACGGGAUUAGAUACCCCGGUAGUCCUAGCCCUAAACGAUGAAUGCUUGGUGUAACGGGUAUCGAUCCCUGUUGUGCCGAAGCUAACGCAUUAAGCAUUCCGCCUGGGGAGUACGGUCGCAAGGCUG
rnacentral:rRNA from 1 species